UGCCCAGCAAUUCCUAUCCCUACCUCCUUGUGGUACUGGCCGGGGAACGAGGAAGAUCGGGUAACCAACAUUGGAACAUUGGUCGUAUGCUGACAGGGCAGG
rnacentral:ribozyme from 1 species